GUCAAUUACCCACCGCCCCUAGAGGCGGGGGCUUGUAGAAAUACAAGCUCGGUUGAUUAGCCUAAGUCAUUAGUUUUUGCUAAUGAUUAGUUAUAGCAGAAUAUAUAGUCACCGUGGGAUGCUCCACAAGUCCCAUGCUCUGAGGGUACAAGUUGUAAAAAAUGAGAGGCUUAAGUUAAAAAGCCUCUCAAUUUUAAAUCUAUAACACAAAGUAAAAGGGGAUUACUUCAACAAAAUAAACGAUUAAAAUU
rnacentral:sRNA from 1 species